AGUUGAUCCUGGCUCAGGAUGAACGCUGGCGGCGCGCUUAAUACAUGCAAGUCGAACGAGAAGCCAGAGCUUGCUCUGGUGGAAAGUGGCGAACGGGUGAGUAACACGUGAGAAACCUGCCCCAAAGAUUGGGAUAAGCCUUGGAAACGAGGUCUAAUACCAAAUACCUUCCUUUAACACAUGUUAAAAGAAGAAAUGCUCCGGCGCUUUGGGAUGGUCUCGCGAUCUAUCAGCUUGUUGGUGAGGUAACGGCUCACCAAGGCAUCGACGGAUAGCUGGUCUGAGAGGAUGUCCAGCCACAUUGGAACUGAGACACGGUCCAAACUCCUACGGGAGGCAGCAGUAGGGAAUCUUGCACAAUGAGGGAAACCUUGAUGCAGCGACGCCGCGUGCGGGACGAAGGCCCUAGGGUUGUAAACCGCUUUCAGUAGGGACGAAAGUGACGGUACCUACAGAAGAAGCCCCGGCCAACUAUGUG
rnacentral:rRNA from 1 species